GUACCGUGAGGGAAAGGUGAAAAGAACCCUGAACAAGGGAGUGAAAUAGAUCCUGAAACCAUACGCUUACAAGCGGUCGGAGCCUUUAGGGGUGACGGCGUGCCUUUUGCAUAAUGAGCCUACGAGUUACCGUUACCAGCAAGGUUAAGCACUUCAGGUGUGGAGCCGUAGCGAAAGCGAGUCUGAAUAGGGCGAAUUAGUUGGUCAUGGUAGACGCGAAACCGUGUGAUCUACCCUUGGGCAGGUUGAAGCUGUGGUAACACACAGUGGAGGACCGAACCCGUUGACGUUGAAAAGUCUUGGGAUGACCUGAGGGUAGGGGUGAAAGGCCAAUCAAACUCGGAAAUAGCUCGUACUCCCCGAAAUGCAUUUAGGUGCAGCGGUAUAUUAGUUUUAUAGAGGUAGAGCUACUGAUUGGAUGCGGGGGCUUCACCGCCUACCAAUUCCUGACAAACUCCGAAUGCUAUAAAAUGAUCAUCAGCAGUGAGGGCAUGGGUGCUAAGGUCCGUGUCCGAGAGGGAAAGAACCCAGACCAUCAGCUAAGGUCCCCAAAUAUAUGUUAAGUUGAAUAAACGCGGUUGAACUGCUUAGACAGCUAGGAUGUUGGCUUGGAAGCAGCCAUUCAUUUAAAGAGUGCGUAACAGCUCACUAGUCGAGCGGUUCGGCAUGGAUAAUAAUCGGGCAUAAACAUAUUACCGAAGCUAUGGCAUAUUAAUUUAUAUUGAUAUGGGUAGGGGAGCAUUGUAACAACGUAGAAGGUGUAUUGCGAGGUACAUUGGAGUGGUUACAAAAGAAAAUGUAGGCAUAAGUAACGAUAAUGCGGGCGAGAAACCCGCACACCGAAAGACCAAGGUUUCCUCAGCUAUGCUAAUCAGCUGAGGGUUAGUCGGGUCCUAAGGCGAACCCGAAAGGGGUAGUCGAUGGCCAAGCAGUUAAUAUUCUGCUACUUGCCCCACGUUAAAAGCGGACGGAGGCGAAAAGUUGGUGCGUACUGACGGAAUAGUACGUUGAAUCCAGUGGUAACACGGAGAUAGUACACAAAAGCUACGGCCGGCGUGAUAAUCCAGCGGAUCGACUUCCAAGAAAAGCGAGUGGUGGCAACCCGUACCGUAAACCGACACAGGUAGUUGGGAUGAGAAUUCUAAGGUGCUCGAGAGAUUCAUGGCUAAGGAACUAGGCAAAAUAGGCCCGUAACUUCGGGAGAAGGGUCGCCCACAGCAAUGUGGGCCGCAGUGAAAAGGUCCAGGCGACUGUUUAUCAAAAACACAGGACUCUGCUAAAUCGAAAGAUGAUGUAUAGGGUCUGACACCUGCCCGGUGCCGGAAGGUUAAUUGAUGGGGUUAGUUUUCGGACGAAGCUCUUGAUCGAAGCCCCGGUAAACGGCGGCCGUAACAAUAACGGUCCUAAGGUAGCGAAAUUCCUUGUCGGGUAAGUUCCGACCUGCACGAAUGGUGUAACCAUGGCCACGCUGUCUCCACCCGAGACUCAGUGAAAUUGAAAUCGCAGUGAAGAUGCUGUGUACCCGCACCUAGACGGAAAGACCCCGUGAACCUUUACUACAGCUUGGCACUGAACAUUGAACCUACAUGUGUAGGAUAGGUGGGAGACUUUGAAACCGCGUCGCUAGAUGUGGUGGAGUCGUCCUUGAAAUACCACCCUUGUAGUUUUGAUGUUCUAACGUUGGCCCCUGAAUCGGGGUUACGGACAGUGCCUGGUGGGUAGUUUGACUGGGGCGGUCUCCUCCCAAAGAGUAACGGAGGAGCACGAAGGUGGGCUAAACACGGUUGGACAUCGUGUGGUUAGUGCAAUGGCAUAAGCCCGCUUGACUGCGAGAAUGACAAUUCGAGCAGGUGCGAAAGCAGGUCAUAGUGAUCCGGUGGUUCUGUAUGGAAGGGCCAUCGCUCAACGGAUAAAAGGUACUCCGGGGAUAACAGGCUGAUACCGCCCAAGAGUUCAUAUCGACGGCGGUGUUUGGCACCUCGAUGUCGGCUCAUCACAUCCUGGGGCUGAAGUCGGUCCCAAGGGUAUGGCUGUUCGCCAUUUAAAGUGGUACGCGAGCUGGGUUUAGAACGUCGUGAGACAGUUCGGUCCCUAUCUGCCGUGGGCGUUGGAAAAUUGAAAGGGGCUGCUCCUAGUACGAGAGGACCGGAGUGGACGAACCGCUGGUGUUCGGGUUGUCAUGCCAAUGGCAUUGCCCGGUAGCUAUGUUCGGAACGGAUAACCGCUGAAAGCAUCUAAGCGGGAAGCCGGCCCAAAGAUGAGUCAUCCCUGACCUUUAAGGUCUGGAAGGGUUGUUAUAGACGAUGACGUUGAUAGGCAGGGUGUGGAAGCGUUGUAAGGCGUUAAGCUAACCUGUACUAAUUGCCCGA
rnacentral:rRNA from 13 species